rnacentral:rRNA from 1 species
AGUGAACGCUGGCGGUAGGCCUAACACAUGCAAGUCGAACGGCAGCACAGUAAGAGCUUGCUCUUACGGGUGGCGAGUGGCGGACGGGUGAGGAAUACAUCGGAAUCUACUUUUUCGUGGGGGAUAACGUAGGGAAACUUACGCUAAUACCGCAUACGACCUACGGGUGAAAGCAGGGGAUCUUCGGACCUUGCGCGAUUGAAUGAGCCGAUGUCGGAUUAGCUAGUUGGCGGGGUAAAGGCCCACCAAGGCGACGAUCCGUAGCUGGUCUGAGAGGAUGAUCGGCCGAAGUGGAAAAGAGAAACGGUGACGAAUCAUAAGGGAGGAAGCAGUGGGGAUUAUUGGAAAAGGGGCGCAGGUGUGAUAGAGUUAUGCUGAGGGAGUGAAGAAGGCAUUCGGGUAGUAAAAAUCUUGUGUUGGGAAAGAACAGGAGCAGGUGGAUAAGUACGUGCCAGGACGGUAGAUAAUGAAGAAGCCACGGCUAAAUUCGGG